rnacentral:rRNA from 1 species
GACGAACGCUGGCGGCGUGCUUAACACAUGCAAGUCGAACGGCACGGCCCUGCUUUUGUGGGGUGCUCGAGUGGCGAAAGGGAGAGUAACACGUGAGUAACCUUCCCUUGACUUUGGGAUAACUUCAGGAAACUGGGGCUAAUACCGGAUAGACGUUCCUGCUGCAUGGUGGGGGUUGGAAAGUUUCGGCGGUUUGGGAUGGACUCGCGGCUUAUCAGCGUGUUGGUGGGGUAGUGGCUUACCAAGGCUUUGACGGGUAGCCGGCCUGAGAGGGUGACCGGCCACAUUGGGACUGAGAUACGGCCCAGACUCCUACGGGAGGCAGCAGUGGGGAAUAUUGCACAAUGGGCGGAAGCCGGAUGCAGCAACGCCGCGUGCGGGAUGACGGCCGUCGGGUUGUAAACCGCUUUCGCCUGUGACGAAGCGUGAGUGACGGUAAUGGGUAAAGAAGCACCGGCUAACUACGUG